rnacentral:rRNA from 1 species
UACGUAGGGGCUAGCGUUGUCCGGAAUCAUUGGGCGUAAAGCGCGUGUAGGCGGCCGGUAAGUCCGCUGUGAAAGUCGAGGGCUCAACCCUCGAAAGCCGGUGGAUACUGUCGGCUCGAGUGCGGGAGAGGCGAGUGGAAUUCCUGGUGUAGCGGUGAAAUGCGCAGAUAUCAGGAGGAACACCGAGUGCGAAGGCAGCGUCGCUGGAACGUAACUGACGCUGAGACGCGAAGCGUGGGGAGCAAACAGG